GACGAAGGGGGCUAGCGUUGUUCGGAAUUACUGGGCGUAAAGCGAGUGUAGGCGGUUGCCAAAGUCAGGUGUGAAAGCCUUGAGCUCAACUCAAGAAAUGCACUUGAUACUUGGUGACUAGAGUACCGGAGAGGAUAGUGGAAUUCCCAGUGUAGUGGUGAAAUACGUAGAUAUUCGCAAGAACACCAGUGGCGAAGGCGGCUCACUGGCCCGGUACUGACGCUGAGGUGCGAAAGCGUGGGGAGCAAACAGG
rnacentral:rRNA from 1 species